rnacentral:rRNA from 1 species
GCUGGCGGCGUGCUUAACACAUGCAAGUCCGAACGGAAAGGCCUCAGCUUGCUGGGGUGCUCGAGUGGCGAACGGGUGAGUAACACGUGGGUGAUCUGCCUCGUACUUCGGGAUAAGCUUGGGAAACUGGGUCUAAUACCGGAUAGGACCAUCAUUUAGUGUUGGUGGUGGAAAGUUUUUUCGGUGCGAGAUGAGCCCGCGGCCUAUCAGCUUGUUGGUGGGGUAAUGGCCUACCAAGGCGUCGACGGGUAGCCGGCCUGAGAGGGUGGACGGCCACAUUGGGACUGAGAUACGGCCCAGACUCCUACGGGAGGCAGCAGUGKGGAAUAUUGCACAAUGGGCGCAACGCCUGAUGCAGCGACGCCGCGUGGGGGAUGACGGCCUUCGGGUUGUAAACCUCUUUCGGUAGGGACGAAGCCUUUUUUAAGGUGACGGUACCUGUAGAAGAAGCACCGGCUAACUACGUGCCAGCAGCCGCGGUAAUACGUUAGGGUGCGGAGCGUUGUCCGGAAUUACUCGGGCGAUAAAGAGCUCGUAGGUGGUUUGUUGCGUCGUCUGUGAAAUACCCGGGGCUUAACUUCGGGGUUGCAGGCGAUACGGGGCAUAACUKGGAGUGCUGUACGGGGAGACUUGGAAUUCCUGGUGUAGCGGUGGAAUGCGCAGAUAUCAGGAGGAACACCGAUGGCGAAGGCAGGUCUCUGGGCAGUAACUUGACGCUUGAGGAGCCGAAAGCAUGGGGAGCCGAACAGGAUUAGAUACCCUGGUAGUCCAUGCUGUAAACGGUGGGCGCUAGGUGUAGGGGUCUUCCACGAUUUCUGUGCCGUAGCUAACGCAUUAA